AACAACUUCACUGUUGUAUAAGAGGGAUGAAAGUAGAACAGAGAUAUACUGCUGAUUUCACCAACUAUUCCAGCAGCAAUAGAUGGACAAGGCAUUCAUUUUGUGAUAUAUAUGGAUCUUUUCAAAAAGGAAAAGAGCUAUUUCUAAAUAAUCUCAUAGCAAACACUUUAAUGUCACUGUGGACAUUUGAUUGCCAUCAAAUAGAAGAGCAAUUACUAUAAAGGGAACAAGGACAGCACCAGUAUAGUCUUAAAUCCAGCAUAAGCAGCAUCUGAUUGGUGCUGAUAAGAUACUUCAGCCCAGCUCCUAUAAUCUUCUCUCUCAGAAACAGAGCAAUAUGAAUGGGUAUAUAAUUCCUCAGGAAUCCUAGCUAAGUGAUUAACUAAGGUGGUGAUUCAUAUCAGAUGAGCCACUGGAAGACUGCUCUCCCACUUCUCAUGACCAUAGACCAACUUGCUUGUUGGUUAAGACUAGACUUUUUUUUCAGUACUUCCCUAAAUCAUGUGUAGGAUGAACUCUUCACACAUGUAUUUUGGAUGUGUCACAUUUAUGAAGCGCUAGACAAAGGAAACAACUAGUUAACAGCUCAGCCAUAAGUGCACUGGAGAAAAAGUCAUCUGCAGAGCUACCUGGACACCCUCUUUCUUUCUACUUCAUCUUUGGCCACAGGUCUGCUCCUAUUGUGGAGCUAGAUUCAUACAACUGCUUCCUCAUCUACUGCUGGUGAAAACUUCACUUAGACUAGCAGUGCAAGCUGUUUCAAUAGCCUACAUCACUCUGCUUUAAAAGCUGGCUAGAGAUUUCUCUCAUCACACCACUUGAAUGGAAGUUGGAAAGCAUGAAGCAGCAAGCACUGUGAAGUUCUUGCUGUUGCAGGAAGAAUAUGGCUGCUGUUCUAUUUCUCUGUGGUCUAAAGUUUGUGCAUAUAUUUUAAGGAAAAAUCCUGAGCUCCUAUCUGAAUUUUGUCCUUUCCUAUCUGUUAUUUACCCCAUUCUUGCAUGGAAAGAAAAAUAAAGAAAAACAGGAAAGCACUACCUUGCAAUUUGUUCUCAUUGGUGUCCUGGGUAAUUAAAGAGCUUUAAGAGCCAGAUAAACAUUAUUUGCAAUAACUUAUUUUGGUCAGUUCCUUAGCUUUUCAAGCAACAUCAACACAACAGAUACCUCUUCACAUUGCUGUUUUACAAUAUAACAAAAUUAGGAAUAAUUAAACCUCUCAGCUGAAUCAGUGUGAGCAGCAUAGCAUACCUCUAGUUUCUUCCCCUUUCACCACUGAAAGAAAACUUCAAUACAUACCCAAGCUUCUUCCAGCCUCUUUAGAUUCUGGUUUGUAGCAAUAUUAGUUACAGUGACUAUCUGACAUAGCAUUUGACAGUUACCAGUAAACUAACAUGAUAAGAGCUCAAUAAAUUUCUUCUGAUACGCUGCUACAUAUGGAAGAGUAAACUCAGAGAAAAACCAUAAUGCAGAAGAACAGGGGCAGCAAGGUUUUAGGAAUCUCCAGCAUAGGCUACGUGAUAUUAUCUUGGUUACAUGUUAGAAAACCCCAAAGCAAUUUGGCAGCGUUUGGUAAUAACAGCAAAUACCAUUAAGAGCUUGGCAGAAAAUGAAAUUUUCCGCACAUCCCUCAUUAAAAAAAAAAAAAAGUAUUAGACAUAGCUGAAUGAGAUUGUUUUUUUUUUUUGUACUAGGCUAUACUCAUCACACUGAACUUGUGCUCCAAACUGUUGUAGCCCUCAAAAAUCAUAGUAACCAUAUAACACUGUAAUGCAAUAAAAAGCACAGCAAUGGCAGCAGAGCAGCUAAGUCCUAAGCUACAGCAAGUAAGAACUUGCUGAAAAACAACAGGCACAGAAACAAAGGAAAGAAUAUUCCUACAUUCAAAAGGCCUCAGGCAAACACUAAGAUCCCUAACAAGAUCACCUGCUUUCACUGCCAACCCUUAAAUGAGGUCCAGGAAGGGAUGAAUCCUGGCUCCACCUCUUCCAGUCAGUCAGCUGCAUUGCAUGCACCUGAGCACACCUGGGUUGGCCCUGUCAUCCCACCAGGUGCUCAAUCACUGUUUCAAGCCAUGGCUUAGUACUUUCGUUACAAAAUGAAACAUAGAUUCUACAGAAAUCUGAGGUCAGCUGAAACAGCAUCAUUCUUUUAUCUCACAGAACCACGUCCCUUGCUCUGGCUUCAGCUUUUAUCAUUUCUAUAUAUCUAACAUAGCAGAGCUAUUUGUUGUACUGACAGAGGAAAAGCAGCCAUCAAGACAAAGUUAUGCAUGAAAAUCCCAGCAUAACCAUAUUUUAAUAGAGAGAUAAACUGGAUAGGGGUAAAAAUCAGGAUUCCCCUAAGCAGAGCAGCAGGGUUUUGCCAUAUUCAGAAAAGCAGGAAAGGCUCGUUAAGCUAUAAAAUGAUUGUCUCUAAGGGCGUGUCUGUGUUGUGAAACAUCGUUCUUUUUACUUACAACAUAUAUAUCACUGUCAUAACCCCUCAUAUGAAUGCUCUCAUAAUGGAGUAAGAAUGGUUGAGUUUGGGGUUUGUCUCAUAGUUUUGUAUUUUACAUUUAAAUUGAAAAUAAAAUAAAACCAGCAAAAUUAUAAAAAUUAGAGAUUUUACAAACUGGAUUUACACUGGUACACUUAUGUCAUUUUAAAUCCUGUCCAUACUUAUGUUGUGGUAUUAUCCCUAAGCUGGCAAGAAAAUAAUGUCAAACCACCCCCUUGCACUCUGACUGUAUUAAAAGCAGAUAUACUCAAAACGCCGUAAGAAAUGUGCUGCUGUGAGGGAUACAGAGCCACCUCUUGCCCAGGGCACAUAAUACCAUGCAUCUUCCUCUCUACAUGCCAUAAAGAAUUUCUGAAAACUUUACAGAAGCGUACGGAGCCAGGUAUUGCCCAGGAAGUAUAAAAUAAAUUUCUCAAAUAUGCAAAUCCUACCAUACACUUGAACUAAAUAUCCUCAAGUAUUAACCAUGACAUUUGCCUGAAGUUCAAUUGUCUUUCUCCCAUCCACUGAAAAGGAAUAGAUAAAAGCUUUGUAUAGCAUACACCUGGAUAAAUUCAGGUCAUUCACAAUGACAAAACACAAUAUGUCAGAAAGUGAGUUCAUACUGUUCAUCACAAAUGAGAAGAGGAAGUCAGAAAAAUCUGGCACAUAUUCAGUACAUCUUUACUGAAUGAAUAUACAUAUCUGAUAAGUGACCACUCCAGAGACCAGUGUAAAUUGAUUGUAUAGAAAAAAAAAGGUCUUCAAAAAAGGUCAAAUGAACUCGGUCUGAAGAUCACAUGGGGAUAUUUUUCAAGUGUUCACUUAAGAAGAAAGUUGUUCACUGGAGAUAAUUCAUGAGGUUAACAAAAUCAAGAAUAUAAGGUCAGAUUCUUCCAAAGGCCAGGAAGGUCUUCAAUAGAUUUAAAGGGGUUUGCUGAUAAAGCUGUACGCUACAGUUACACUAGCAAAUCUUAACUAUGGAGGUAGCAGGUGUUUUAUUCCUGGAAAAGAAUAGGCUGUACUUGCAAAAUGACUUUUUUUUUCUUUCUUCUUUUCUCUGUUUUGUAAGCAUUUAUACAUCCAGAGAGCUGCUAUCAUAUUUAUGUCAGUCAUGUUGGUGAAAAUAUCUCACCCUUCCUCAGCCCAGCAAUGUCAGCAAAUUUUUUUAAGGGCAAACCUGGUCUAAGAAAAUAAAUUAUCAGAGAAUUUUUCUAUUUUUUUUUCUAUUUGUUGGACUGUUUGUUUUAGUAAGUGUCACUGGAAAUUAUUUCAGCUUUGUUUUUAUUUUGUUUAGGGGAUUUCAAUAUAAAUAACACUUUGGAUUUCAUGCAAUUCCUACUACAAUUGUUCAUUUGUCUUAUCCUGUCACUCUCUUUCUCAAUCUUUCCGCAACAGUAUGCUAUCUCAGAAGGUAUUGAUUAUUUGUGGGGAAAUAUACAAACUCCAAUCACCAUUAUAUAAGAAAAAAAUAUAUUCUCAAGUUAAGGAUUACAUGAUAAAUAUGACUUGUAUGCCUGCUCCGCAAAGAAGUGAAUGCCUUUAAUUAAUUUGAAUCACUAAAUUGAGAUUCUUAAUUUGAAUAAAUACAAACACAGUAAGUUUACAUUUGAUCUAGUCCCUCUAGGCUUUAUUUGUAAUUAAUGGAUAGAAAUAGUUACUUGUAUGACAUGUCUCAUCUAUUCCUAAAGUAGACAUUAGAAACAGGUCACAUGAGCCACACAUUAAAAAUGUCUCUUUCUUUCUUUUGACUAUAAAGGCCAUCUAACUGAGAUACUGUAGAUGUUGAAAGUUAGGUGAGAUGAAUCUCAAAUCUACUAUAAGAGCUUCUCUGAAAGUAACACCUCCUGUGUUAUUAUGUUGGCCCAUGAUGUCAGGCACAGAAGUUAUUGGUACGGCAGUAGAGAUUGAACCUACCUGCCGGUAUUCUAUUACAGGCUGCUGUCAUGUAACAGGUGGCAGCAGAGAGGCAGUCUGACUUGGAAUAAUGGCACCCAUUGACAUUCACUAAUGUUUACUGAAUGUUUAUGGAAAUCAAACAGUGGAUGUCAGUGCGUGAAGCAAUGGGUGGUGCACUUCUGCAGUAGCAACAGCGUCAAACCAUGCUCCAGACAGCCAUGCACAGCUUUCACACCUCAAAACCUAUGAGAAGGAAACUUCAGUGAAUAACCAUAGUUACCUAUGAGAACUGAGAUAUUUUCCUUUUUUUUUUUUUUUUUCCAAUUCAAAAUACUUGCUACUGCCCACCCAUGAACUGAGUAUUUCAGAAGGAAUUCAGACAGCAAUUUUUACCUUUGUGCACAGACUGACCAUGCUUAUAAGGUCUUUGGUUUGACUUGACAUAUUUCUUUGUGCGUAACAGUUUUGCAUACAUUAUCAUGUGCAUCUUUGUCAACAUUAAUGAGCACCAUGCAGUUAAAUGAAAAAUACUUUUUUUUUUUUUUCAUAAAUCUGGUGACUAUGCACGUAAUGGGGCACUUUGUACUCAGGAGCCUUUUGUUUGUUUGUUUGAAGAGGACUAUGAAAGUGUAACAAAAUCCCGCCUAACUAUUAUCAAUGUUGAUUACAGCAUCCUCUGAGCAGAUAAAGGCAUUUCUUAGUUGGUGGUCCAAUUAACUGCAUUAAGAAAAAUAUGGUGAUUCAAACUCAGUAGAGUUCAGCUUCAGCUUUGAUUUAAGGGUUGGUAACUUCCUCAGGAAAAUGAAUUAAUCUUUUUUUUAGAAAAAAAAUGAUUGUCACAAGUUAUUCAUUGUGUAUCUAAUUAUCAUCUGAGGUCCUGACCACUAAGUCCAGUAAAGAACAGGGUAACAGUAGGUGCAUUAAUCAUUGUUUAAUCUAAUCUAUCCCUUUACGUAUUUUAUAGUAACUUCACUAGCACAAACUCUGUAUCACCUGGUGUCUAACUGAUGAUACUUUCUGAAAAUCAAUUUCUGAAUAGGUACUCAUACUUAGUAUUUUUAAGGGACAUUCAGUUCAUCUGUUACUAGUUUACAAAGGCAUUAUUUGUUUUGGUUUUGUUCCUAAGUAUUAGUCAAACAAAAACCCUGGCUGCUGAAAACCAAAACUGUGCUCUUUCCUUUUCACUCGUCAUCACCAGUAAUAAAGAUUCCAUAGACAAAAUAAAAUCCUAGAUAAUGUGGGGCCACCCCACUCUCUUUAAUUGGGAUUGCAACAGAAUUGCAUAAAUGUAAUUGUCUGGAACUUGUGUAAGUAUUC
ensembl:lncRNA